rnacentral:rRNA from 1 species
GAUGAACGCUGGCGGCGUGCCUAAUACAUGCAAGUCGAGCGAACGGACGAGAAGCUUGCUUUUCUGAUGUUAGCGGCGGACGGGUGAGUAACACGUGGAUAACCUACCUAUAAGACUGGGAUAACUUCGGGAAACCGGAGCUAAUACCGGAUAAUAUUUUGAACCGCAUGGUUCAUAAGUGAAAGACGGUCUUGCUGUCACUUAUAGAUGGAUCCGCGCUGCAUUAGCUAGUUGGUAAGGUAACGGCUUACCAAGGCAACGAUGCAUAGCCGACCUGAGAGGGUGAUCGGCCACACUGGAACUGAGACACGGUCCAGACUCCUACGGGAGGCAGCAGUAGGGAAUAUUCCGCAAUGGGCGAAAGCCUGACGGAGCAACGCCGCGUGAGUGAUGAAGGUCUUCGGAUCGUAAAACUCUGUUAUUAGGGAAGAACAUAUGUGUAAGUAACUGUGCACAUCUUGACGGUACCUAAUCAGAAAGCCACGGCUAACUACGUG